UACGAAGGGGGCUAGCGUUGUUCGGAUUUACUGGGCGUAAAGCGCACGUAGGCGGAUUGUUAAGUCAGAGGUGAAAUCCUGGAGCUCAACUCCAGAACUGCCUUUGAUACUGAUAGUCUUGAGUAUGGGAGAGGUGAGUGGAACUGCGAGUGUAGAGGUGAAAUUCGUAGAUAUUCGCAAGAACACCAGUGGCGAAGGCGGCUCACUGGCCCAUUACUGACGCUGAGGCACGAAAGCGUGGGGAGCAAACAGG
rnacentral:rRNA from 1 species